rnacentral:rRNA from 1 species
CCUACGGGCGGCUGCAGUGGGGAAUAUUGCACAAUGGGCGCAAGCCUGAUGCAGCCAUGCCGCGUGUGUGAAGAAGGCCUUCGGGUUGUAAAGCACUUUCAGCGGGGAGGAAGGCGGUGAGGUUAAUAACCUCAUCGAUUGACGUUACCCGCAGAAGAAGCACCGGCUAACUCCGUACCAGCAGCCGCGGUAAUACGGAGGGUGCAAGCGUUAAUCGGAAUUACUGGGCGUAAAGCGCACGCAGGCGGUCUGUCAAGUCGGAUGUGAAAUCCCCGGGCUCAACCUGGGAACUGCAUUCGAAACUGGCAGGCUAGAGUCUUGUAGAGGGGGGUAGAAUUCCAGGUGUAGCGGUGAAAUGCGUAGAGAUCUGGAGGAAUACCGGUGGCGAAGGCGGCCCCCUGGACAAAGACUGACGCUCAGGUGCGAAAGCGUGGGGAGCAAACAGGAUUAGAUACCCCAGUAGUC